AGCCAGCGGAUGGUGACGGAUCGGGUAAAUUGUGCAUCCUUAUCGGAUUGGGUGUGCAGUGAACCGGUUCCAGGAAAUAGCCUCCGCAUGAGACCGUACCCGAAGCCGACACAGGUGGACAGGUAGAGUAUACCAAGGCGCUUGAGAGAACUCUGCUGAAGGAACUCGGCAAAUUGCCUCCGUAACUUCGGGAUAAGGAGGCCCCGGUUGUGGGCAACCAUGAUCGGGGGGCACAAGCCAGGGGGUGGCGACUGUUUAACAAAAACACAGGGCUCUGCGAAGCCGCAAGGCGACGUAUAGGGUCUGACGCCUGCCCGGUGCCGGAAGGUUAAGAGGAGAGGUGCAAGCUUUGAAUCGAAGCCCCGGUAAACGGCGGCCGUAACGAUAACGGUCCUAAGGUAGCGAAAUUCCUUGUCGGGUAAGUUCCGACCUGCACGAUGGCGUAGCGACUUCCCCGCUGUCUCCAGCAGAGACUCAGUGAAAUUGAAUUCCCCGUGAAGAUGCGGGGUUCCUGCGGUUAGACGGAAAGACCCCGUGCACCUUUACUGCAACUUUGCGCUGGCAUUCGUGUCGGCAUGUGUAGGAUAGGUGGUAGGCUUUGAAGCGCGGGCGCCAGCUCGUGUGGAGCCAACCUUGAAAUACCACCCUUAUCGUCAUGGAUGUCUAACUGCGGUUCGACAGGAUCCAGGACAGCGCAUGGUGGGCAGUUUGACUGGGGCGGUCGCCUCCCAAAGAGUAACGGAGGCGCGCGAUGGUGGGCUCAGACCGGUCGGAAAUCGGUCGUCGAGUGCAAUGGCAUAAGCCUGCCUGACUGCGAGACUGACACGUCGAGCAGAGACGAAAGUCGGCCAUAGUGAUCCGGUGGUCCCGCGUGGAAGGGCCAUCGCUCAACGGAUAAAAGGUACGCCGGGGAUAACAGGCUGAUCUUCCCCAAGAGUCCAUAUCGACGGGAAGGUUUGGCACCUCGAUGUCGACUCAUCACAUCCUGGGGCUGGAGCAGGUCCCAAGGGUUCGGCUGUUCGCCGAUUAAAGUGGUACGUGAGUUGGGUUCAGAACGUCGUGAGACAGUUCGGUCCCUAUCUGCCGUGGGUGUUCGAGACUUGAGACGAUCUGUCCUUAGUACGAGAGGACCGGGAUGGACGCACCACUGGUGGACCUGUUGUCCUGCCAAGGGCAGUGCAGGGUAGCUAUGUGCGGACGGGAUAACCGCUGAAGGCAUCUAAGCGGGAAACCCACGUCAAAACAAGGUCUCGCUAAAUAGGGCCGUGGGAGACGACCACGUCGAUAGGCCGGGUGUGUAAGCGCAGCAAUGUGUUCGGCUUACCGGUACUAAUAGCUC
rnacentral:rRNA from 1 species